rnacentral:rRNA from 1 species
UACGUAGGUGGCAAGCGUUGUCCGGAAUUAUUGGGCGUAAAGAGCUCGUAGGCGGUCUGUCGCGUCGGCUGUGAAAAACCCGGAGCUCAACUCCGGGGCCUGCAGUCGAUACGGGGCAAACUGGAGUACUGCAGGGGGAGACUGGAAUUCCUGGUGUAGCGGUGAAAUGCGCAGAUAUCAGGGAGGGAACACCCGGUGGGCGAA